rnacentral:rRNA from 1 species
AUACGGAGGGAGCAAGCGUUAUCCGGAAUCAUUGGGUUUAAAUGGUCCGUAGGCGGGAAUCUAAGUCAGUGGUGAAAUCUUGCAGCUCAACUGUAAAAUUGCCAUUGAUACUGGAUUUCUUGAAUUAGUGUGAAGUGGUUAGAAUGUGUAGUGUAGCGGUGAAAUGCAUAGAUAUUACACAGAAUACCAAUUGCGAAGGCAGAUCACUAACACUAUAUUGACGCUCAGGGACGAAAGCGUGGGGAGCGAACAGGAUUAGAAACCCCAGUAGUCC